rnacentral:rRNA from 1 species
UACGGGGGGAGCAAGCGUUGUUCGGAUUUACUGGGCGUAAAGGGCGCGUAGGCGGCCAGUGCAAGUCAGUUGUGAAAUCUCCGAGCUUAACUCGGAAAGGUCAACUGAUACUGCUCGGCUAGAGUGCGGAAGGGGCAACUGGAAUUCUCGGUGUAGCGGCGAAAUGCGUAGAUAUCGAGAGGAACACCUGCGGCGAAGGCGGGUUGCUGGGCUGACACUGACGCUGAGGCGCGAAAGCUAGGGGAGCAAACAGG